CACACACACACACACACACACACACACACACACACACUACAAACAGUGCAUGCACAAAAUAUUAUAAAAACAAUGGAAAAAAUAUAUAUACAUAUAUAAGAUAAAUAGAAAGAAAGAUUGAUUGGUUGUGCAAUAUUUUUCACAUUAUGUUAUUUAUUAUAUGCAGGGUUCACGCACAGAGAGAGACCAGAGGAAGUACAGAAAUGUAGAGGAACUGCCAUUGUCCAGCGAUGCAAUAUCACUGUGUGCCUUAUUUUCAAAUGUGAACUAAUGUAGUACAGGGCAUCGACAACUGAAUGUGUUUGGAUAGUCACUAAGUCACUAUUUCUUUUGUUUAUUAUUGUAAUUAUUAUUUUCAUGAAUGAUCCAAUCUAUGGCAUUUGUUUUUGCUUUGAGUUUGCUGGCUGAAGUUGUAGCACCUGGCCUGAAGCCUAAUUAGGCUAAUGGUAUCAGUUCGUUUGACACAGAUGACAGUUGUUGUUGCUGUUGUUUGACACAAGCCAUGUUUUGUAAUGUGCAUUUAAACAGAAUUUAAAUGUUUUAAAAUGUGAAUCUAAUUGUUUUGACUCUUUUUUGGGGUGGAGUUCUAUUAUUUGUAUUAAUACAAUUCAUUUUCUGUAAUGUCGACCAAAUGCAUGUUGUCCGCUGUAGUGGACAUGUCACUAAAAACUUAGCAGAAACAGGUAGAAAAAAAAUUCCAACUGCAAUAUUAUUUAUAUGCCUUAUAUUGAAUAAAAACACAUAGUAAGAAUUUUUUAACUCAAUAUAUCAUAAUUCAUGCAUGAAAGGGUUAAU
rnacentral:lncRNA from 1 species